rnacentral:rRNA from 1 species
AUUGAACGCUGGCGGCAGGCCUAACACAUGCAAGUCGAGCGAGAAAGGUCUUCGGACUGAGUACAGCGGCGGACGGGUGAGUAAUGCGCAGGAAUCUACCUGGUAGUGGGGGAUAACUCGGGGAAACUCGAACUAAUACCGCAUACGCCUACGGGGAAAGGCGGGGACCGUUCGGGCCUCGCGCUAUCAGAUGAGCCUGCGUAGGAUUAGCUUGUUGGUGAGGUAAAGGCUCACCAAGGCGACGAUCCUUAGCUGGUCUGAGAGGAUGAUCAGCCACACUGGAACUGAGACACGGUCCAGACUCCUACGGGAGGCAGCAGUGGGGAAUAUUGCGCAAUGGGCGAAAGCCUGACGCAGCCAUGCCGCGUGUGUGAAGAAGGCCCUUGGGUUGUAAAGCACUUUCAAUUGGGAAGAAAGGUUAGCGUGUUAAUAGACACGUAGCUGUGACGG